GUCUUCAUAGUGUAGUGGUUAUCACGUAUCCUUUACACGGAUAAGGUCCCCGGUUCGAGCCCGGGUGAAGGCA